GCCACGCCCGCUCAAGAAACUUAAUAGAAUUGACGGGGCCCGCACAAGCGGUGGAGUAUGUGGUUUAAUUCGAUGCAACGCGAAGAACCUUACCUGGUCUUGACAUCCCGGAGACCCUUAGGAAACUAGGGGGUGCUUCCAUCUGGAAGAAUCUGGAGACAGGUGCUGCAUGGCUGUCGUCAGCUCGUGUCGUGAGAUGUUGGGUUAAGUCCCGCAACGAGCGCAACCCUUGCCUUUAGUUGCCAGCAGUUCGGCUGGGCACUCUAAAGGGACUGCCGGUGUUAAACCGGAGGAAGGUGGGGAUGACGUCAAGUCCUCAUGGCCUUUAUGACCAGGGCUACACACGUACUACAAUGGCCGAUACAAAGGGCAGCGACACUGCGAGGUGAAGCCAAUCCCGUAAAAUCGGUCUCAGUCCGGAUUGGAGUCUGCAACUCGACUCCAUGAAGUUGGAAUCGCUAGUAAUCGUGGAUCAGCAUGCCACGGUGAAUACGUUCCCGGGCCUU
rnacentral:rRNA from 1 species